UAUAAUGAACGAAGCAUAUUAAAAUGAAGAUAGAGAAGAAGUAACUAACCUGGAAUUUAAGACAACAAAUCCAGCAAGACCUGACGCGCUACGAAGCACAUAUCUCCAAUUUUGCACCAAAUUUUCGUUCGUAAGAGGAACCUCAUCUCCCCGGAACAUUGAUCAAGGGUCAAGUUGAGGAUGUCGCUCCACAAUAAGCUCUCUAAAAAUAUGAGGAUAUCAUAAAUGGAAAUGUGUUGAAGGCGUACAAGAGGAUGUCAAACAGUUAACAUCAUCAUUGCCUUAUUAUUAUUGGAUCAACACAGGAGACCACUCCUUGAAACAUUUUCCUAGAAGCACCAAGAAAAAAGGAGUAAGUUCUUGGUGAAAAAAGGUCAUGAUGUUCUAUAAUGAGCUAAAAUAUGCCUUAACUCAUUAUGAGAAGGCUAUUACUUUUCCCACCCUAUUCAUUUCUCAUACACCCUAUUUUUCCUCCCAAAAAUAACCUUUCUUUGGAUUCUAAAAUCGAAAAUAGAUUGAUUGAAUUUUCGGAUUA